rnacentral:rRNA from 1 species
GGAGCGAACGGGAUUAGAUACCCCGGUAGUCCUAGCUGUAAAGGAUGCGGGCCAGGUGUCUGGUGUUCCUCGAGAGCACCAGGUGCCGGAGAGAAGUCGUUAAGCCCGCCGCCUGGGAAGUACGGUCGCAAGGCUGAAACUUAAAGAAAUUGGCGGGGGAGCACCACAAGGGGUGGGACCUGCGGUUCAAUCGGAUUCAACGCCGAAAAACUCACCAGGGGCGACAGGUGGAUGAAGGCCAGGCUGACGACCUUGCCGGACUAGCUGAGAGGUGGUGCAUGGCCAUCGUCAGCUCGUACCGUGAGGCGUCCUGUCAAGUCAGGCAACGAGCGAGAUCCUCGCCCUUAGUUGCCACAGUGGAAAGCUGGGCACUAUAAGGGGACCGCUGGCGCUAAGCCAGAGGAAGGAGAGGGCGACGGUAGGUCCGUAUGCCCCGAAUCCCCUGGGCCACACGCGGGUCACAAUGCGUAGGACAAUGGGUUGCGACCUCGUAAGAGGAAGCUAAUCCCCCAAACCUACGCUCGGUUCGGAUCGAGGGCUGCAACUCGCCCUCGUGAAGCUGGAAUCCCUAGUAAUCGCGCGCCAACACCGCGCGGUGAAUACGUCCCUGCUCCUUGUACACACC